rnacentral:lncRNA from 1 species
GAGCCAUGCUCCCCUUUUUGUUUGUUAUGAACCAAGGUAAAUAAUCGUAAGUUUGGGGUUGGGACACCGGUAAGAACUAGAUAAGUGUAGAUGAAAAGAAAAAAAAAUAUUGUGAAACUUCAAGAAAAAGAGAAUAAAAAAAUGAGAAGUAAAAUAAAGCACUUACCUAGAGGAGAUUUAGUUUGGCAAAAGGCUUGCUCAAAGAAACGCAUGAAGAAAAAGAAAAAGAAAAGCUAAUGAAUCCUAACAAGAACGGUGUUCAAAAAUCUCUAAGUUGAACGAUUGAACAUAGUGAUGAGGAUGACAACACGGACUCUGAGCC